UACGUAGGGAGCAAGCGUUGUCCGGAUUCACUGGGUGUAAAGGGUGCGCAGGCGGGAGAGUAAGUCAGAGGUGAAAUCUCACAGCUUAACUGUGAGACUGCCUUUGAUACUGCUUUUCUUGAGUUCGGGAGAGGUUGAUGGAAUUCCAGGUGUAGCGGUGAAAUGCGUAGAUAUCUGGAAGAACACCAGUGGCGAAGGCGGUCAACUGGCCCGUAACUGACGCUCAGGCACGAAAGCGUGGGUAGCGAACAGG
rnacentral:rRNA from 1 species